UUACGGUCAAAUCACGCUGAAACACCGGUUCUCGUACGAUCACCGAAGUUAAGCAUCGUAGAGCCAGGUCAGUACUUAGAUGGGGGACCGAUUGGGAACACCUGGUACUGUAAG
rnacentral:rRNA from 1 species